rnacentral:RNase_P_RNA from 1 species
GUCAGUCGGGCAACCGCUGCUGUGGUACGUGUUUGCAAACGGCCACAGGGGAGGAAAGUCCGGGCUUUAUAGGACAGGGUGCCAGGUAACGCCUGGGGAGCGUAAGCUCACGACCAGUGCAACAGAAAGUAUACCGCCGAGAUCUUCUCGGUAAGGGUGAAAUGGUGCGGUAAGAGCGCACCGCGCCUCCAGCAAUGGUGGGCGGCAAGGUAAACUCCACCCAAAGCAAGAUCGAAUAGGCCUCCUUUUAUGAUGUGGUCCGCAUCGGGGGCGGGUAGAUCGCUUGAGCCUGUGGGCGACUGCAGGCCUAGAUGAAUGGUUGCCACUGCAUUUGCAGACAGAACCCGGCUUAUAGACUGACCUC